rnacentral:rRNA from 1 species
UACGUAGGGGGCAAGCGUUGUCCGGAUUUAUUGGGCGUAAAGAGCGUGUAGGCGGCUAGGUAGGUCCGUUGUGAAAACUCGAGGCUCAACCUCGAGACGUCGAUGGAAACCAUCUAGCUAGAGUCCGGAAGAGGAGAGUGGAAUUCCUGGUGUAGCGGUGAAAUGCGCAGAUAUCAGGAAGAACACCCGUGGCGAAGGCGGCUCUCUGGGACGUUACUGACGCUGAGACGCGAAAGCGUGGGGAGCAAACAGG